AUAUGAAGUUGAUCGUAUAGGAUGAGAACCUAAGGUUCGAGCCGAGCGAAGCGAGACAACGCCGGAGCUUGCGACGGCGGCCCGAAGGGCGUGGUAAUCCUAUACGACCCACCA
rnacentral:sRNA from 1 species